AUGGUAGACGCGGUAAUGUCGUUGAAUAUCACUGUGAAAAGUGAAGACUCCGAGUCCUUUGACGAUGAAGACGAAUCAUCUUCGCUGCUUUCGGGCAAAAGAGCCACGGAGUCUGCAGCUCGUCAUGAUAUUUCUCCGGGAGAAGGCGGUCCAAUAGAAGACCAUGCAGGAUAUUCAACACAGCAUGGGCGGCUAGCAACUAAAACGACCAGCAAACCCAUCGUACUGUAUCCUGUGAGUGCUGACCGUUUCUUUUCCUCGACUUCUGCAGAUGGCAAAACCAUCUUAAAGAUAGCUCCAGCCGCAGUCAUGACCCUCCCGACUCCUCGGCCUCCUCCCCAGGUUUCCCCAGAGUUCUCCUACCAGGCCAUCGUGUACUUGAUCGAAGCAGUGGGGCGCCGCUGGAGCCUGUACGGGACGCGGGAGCGUUCGCAGCUCUUCCAGAGCGUGCAGAAGGAGUUGGAGGAGCAGGGUCAUUGUCUUCCCGUUGAGAAGAUCCGCCGCAAGUGGAACAACUUGAUCGUCACCUACAAGAGGGUCAAAUACAGAGGCAGGGAGACCGGCCAGGCCAGAACCUCCUGGGAGUACUUUGAGAUGAUGGAUGCCAUGCUUGGUGACACCAUUGGCGCCGAGACCACUAGCAGCCCUACCCUAGUAACCAGCAUCCCUAAGGUGAACGUCGCCAUGGAAACCGCCAAAACAGAGCAGAAGCCCCUCCUUCCCCAUGGCAACCUCAUCACUGCAUGCACUCGGACACUCACCCUUGUCCCCUCCUCCCUCCCACUCCACACGCCAGUUCCCUCCACCCUCCCUCUCUACACCUUUGUCAGAUCCCUCCCUCCCCCUACCCCCGUCCGCUCCUCCCUCCCUCUUCCCACCCCCUUGGACACACCCUCCCCCAGGAUAGCCAAUAACACAGACCCUCUACAGCCAAACCCCUCCCCUGCUCCGGUCGCAAAGCCCCCUGCCUCCCGUCACAUCCCCUCCAACCUCAGCCGCAUAGACCUCCGCAGAAAGAAGCGCUGUCGCUUCCUCUCCAAGGGAUCCUCCAUUACCUCCCUUCUGGCCCAGCAGCAGAGGCGAGCGGAAGAAGGCACCUCCUUGCUGCAGGAGUUCCUGAGGAGGCAGGAGGGGCAGGCCAAGGAGGAGCAGGGGCAUCGCAGCAGGAUGGAGGCCCGGGGGAGGAGGCGCGAGAGGAGGGAGGCGCGCAUGGCAGAGUCCCUGGGUAGGAUGGCAACGGCUCUGGAGCUGCUUUCCUCCAAACAGGACACAGUCAUUGCCCUGCUGCAGAGACUGGCUGAGAGAGACAGGAAGUGA
rnacentral:lncRNA from 1 species